GUGGGGAAUAUUGGACAAUGGGCGCAAGCCUGAUCCAGCAAUGCCGCGUGGAUGAAGAAGGUCUUCGGAUUGUAAAGUCCUUUCGGCGGGGACGAUGAUGACGGUACCCGCAGAAGAAGCCCCGGCUAACUUCGUGCCAGCAGCCGCGGUAAUACGAAGGGGGCUAGCGUUGCUCGGAAUGACUGGGCGUAAAGGGCGCGUAGGCGGACAUAUUAGUCAGGCGUGAAAUUCCCGGGCUUAACCUGGGGGCUGCGUUUGAUACGGUGUGUCUAGAGUUUGGAAGAGGGUCGUGGAAUUCCCAGUGUAGAGGUGAAAUUCGUAGAUAUUGGGAAGAACACCGGUGGCGAAGGCGGCGACCUGGUCCUUGACUGACGCUGAGGCGCGAAAGCGUGGGGAGCAAACAGGAUUAGAUACCCUGGUAGUCCACGCUGUAAACGAUGUGCGCUGGAUGUUGGGCAGCCUAGCUGCUCAGUGUCGUAGCUAACGCGAUAAGCGCACCGCCUGGGGAGUACGGCCGCAAGGU
rnacentral:rRNA from 1 species